AGAACGAACGCUGGCGGCAUGCCUAACACAUGCAAGUCGAACGCUUGCCGGGCUUCGGUUCGGCAGGAGUGGCGCACGGGUGAGUAGCGCGUGGGAACCUGCCCUGUUGUGGGGGAUAACCGAGGGAAACUUCGGCUAAUACCGCAUGCGCCCCCGGGAGCGAUCCUGGGGGGAAAGAUUUAUCGCAGCAGGAGGGGCCCGCGUCGGAUUAGGUAGUUGGUGGGGUAACGGCCCACCAAGCCUGUGAUCCGUAGCUGGUCUGAGAGGAUGAUCAGCCACACUGGGACUGAGACACGGCCCAGACUCCUACGGGAGCAGCAGUGGGGAAUAUUGGACAAUGGGCGCAAGCCUGAUCCAGCAAUGCCGCGUGAGUGAUGAAGGCCUUAGAGUUGUAAAGCUCUUUCGCCGCGACGAUGAUGACGGUAGCGGGAGAAGAAGCCCCGGCUAACUUCGUGCCAGCAGCCGC
rnacentral:rRNA from 1 species